CCUACGGGUGGCAGCAGUGAGGAAUAUUGGUCAAUGGGCGGAAGCCUGAACCAGCCAAGUCGCGUGAGGGAAUAAGGCCCUACGGGUCGUAAACCUCUUUUGCCGGGGAGCAAGGGCGGGGACGUGUCCCGGCCCGGAGAGUACCCGGAGAAAAGGCAUCGGCAAACUCCGUGCCAGCUGCCGCGGUAAUAUGCAGGAUGCGAGCGUUAUCCGGAUUUAUUGGGUUUAAAGGCUGCGUAGGCGGGCUUGUAAGUCAGCGGUAAAAAUUCGGGGCUCAACCCCGUCCGGCCGUUGAAACUGGGUGCCUGGAGUGGAGGAGAGGAAAGCGGAAUGCGUGGUGUAGCGGUGAAAUGCAUAGAUAUCACGCAGAACCCCGGUUGCGAAGGCAGCCUUCCGGCGCCCUACUGACGCUGAGGCACGAAAGUGCGGGGAGCGAACAGGAUUAGAUACCCGAGUAGUC
rnacentral:rRNA from 1 species